UAUUAAGCUAGGCUGCAGUUCUCUACAAGGACUCAAAUAUAAAAGUACAAAGUCCUUCUCAGGCCAUAUUUAGUUCGCUUUAACAGGACUGAGGUUUAAAAGAUGAGCAGAAUAAUAGAACAUAACAAAAGAAACGGAGAUGAUUAGCCAGAGGUUUGGAGAAACCACUGAAAGAAUGUGUUGCUAUGGAAGCCAAAGGGCAAAGUGACUUUGAGCAGGAGGCAGACAUUCAUGUAAGGUCCUUUGUGCAAAGCUGUGUCCACACCCAAAGUCUGAAGUGGCUCCAUUCACAAGCUUACAUGGAAUUUGGACUUGGUCAUCUUUCAUUUCGAGAAUAUGCGGAUGAAAUGGAAGCUUGGGAAGAUGGGGGGACCUGACCACAAUUACGGCAAGUCCACAUGAUUGAAUCUGUGUCUUGAAAACAGGUCAUCUGAUGCUGGGGAAUGAUUUUUUUCCACCACAGCGUACUUUCUUUCACUUCUCACAUGAUGUAUUUUCUGCAGUUUCCCUUGCUACUUUGGCUUUUUUCUUUUAGUCUGUGGUCAUUGUCAAUAAUUUCUUGGAAGUGACUUGAACCGUGUUCAGCAUUUCAGAUGUGACCUGCCUCACACCACACAUUUUGAUGUCUGCUCAUUGUUUCCAAAUUGCUACAUGAUACUGGUCAAAUUGCUUUACCUCUCUAGUGCUUGGUUUCUUUAUUUUCAAAAGAAGGG
rnacentral:lncRNA from 1 species